CAGGCCUAACACAUGCAAGUCGAGCGCCGUAGCAAUACGGAGCGGCAGGCGGGAGAGUAACACGUGGGAACGUGCCCUUCAGUUCGGAACAACCCAGGGAAACUUGGGCUAAUACCGGAUACGUCCGAAAGGAGAAAGAUUUAUCGCUGAAGGAUCGGCCCGCGUCUGAUUAGCUAGUUGGUGAGGUAACGGCUCACCAAGGCGACGAUCAGUAGCUGGUCUGAGAGGAUGAUCAGCCUCACUGGGACUGAGACACGGCCCAGACUCCUACGGGAGGCAGCAGUGGGGAAUAUUGGACAAUGGGCGCAAGCCUGAUCCAGCCAUGCCGCGUGGGUGAUGAAGGCCCUAGGGUUGUAAAGUCCUUUCGGCGGGGAAGAUAAUGACGGUACCCGCAGAAGAAGCCCCGGCUAACUUCGUGCCAGCAGCCGCGGUAAUAC
rnacentral:rRNA from 1 species